UAGGGAAUCUUCCGCAAUGGACGCAAGUCUGACGGAGCAACGCCGCGUGAGUGAAGAAGGAUUUCGGUUCGUAAAACUCUGUUGUUAGAGAAGAACAGCGCAUAGAGUAACUGUUAUGCGUGUGACGGUAUCUAACCAGAAAGCCACGGCUAACUACGUGCCAGCAGCCGCGGUAAUACGUAGGUGGCAAGCGUUGUCCGGAUUUAUUGGGCGUAAAGCGAGCGCAGGCGGUCAAUUAAGUCUGAUGUGAAAGCCCCCGGCUCAACCGGGAAGGGUCAUUGGAAACUGGUGGACUUGAGUGCAGAAGAGGAGAGUGGAAUUCGAUGUGUAGCGGUGAAAUGCGUAGAUAUAUGGAGGAACUCCAGUGGCUAUAGCGACUCUGUGGUCUGUAACUGACGCUGAGGCUCGAGAGCGUGGGUAGCAAACAGG
rnacentral:rRNA from 1 species